AGAGAGAGUUUUAGAGAGAGAAAAGCUUGGAAAGGUAAAACCAAUCUUCUUCUUCUCUCUCUCUUGUCUCUUUCAGAAAGAGAUGAACAAUUCUAUCUCUCUCUGAGAAUCCAUGGAAAAAAAAUGCUCACACGCAGAGAUUGAGUGAAACCCAAGCCAUGGGAAUGGAUUUCAGAAGCUUUUGAAAGCAUACAGAAAUCAUUGUUGCUUCAUUUGAUUCUCUCUCUCUCUCUCUCUCUCUUGAUCUUUUUCAGCCAUUUCCGCCAUGAACGGCAAAACCCAAGCUCUGUUACUGAAGAUCCUCUUCCUUCUCUUCGCCUUCAACACCCUAACUCUCUGCAUUUACUUCACUGCCCAUUACAAAACAUCCUCGUCUAGUUCCUCUCACCGGAAACCCACAUCGGAAAACCGCUUCCCCUUCCCGGAAAACCGACGUUCUUCCAAGCCCUGGCCCAUUUUGCCUUCUUAUCUUCCUUGGUCUCACUCAUCCACUGUCCCUCUGCGUUCCUGUGAGGCUUAUUUCGGCAAUGGCUUCAACCGCCGUGUAGAUCUUUUAAAACCUAACCUCGCCGGGAAACUCGCCGGAUGGUUCCGAUGCUGGUAUAGCGAGACUCUGGCGAGUUCGAUAUGCGAGGGAGCGAGAGUCCGAAUGUGGCCGGAGAGGAUUUCCAUGUCCCGAGGAGGCGAGAGGAUUGAAGAAGUGAUCGGAAGGAAGGAAGAGACGGAGUUGCCCAAAUUUCGGAACGGCGCUUUUGAACUAGACGGCGGCGAUACCGUCGCGAGCAAGGAGAGGGUUCUAGCGGAUGAGAAAUUUCUUAAUGGAUUCGUUCCGGCAGGGGAGAUUCAGAGCCACACCAUGCGCGCAUUGUUUGGAUCAUUCCGAGUUGUUUCUGGGAAUGAUUUCGAUUGCCAAGAGUGGAUUGAGGAGCCUGUGCUUCUGGUGACGAGGUUUGAGUAUGCAAAUCUUUUUCACACUAUUACGGAUUGGUAUAGUGCUUAUGUGAGUUCGAGAGUCGUCGGAUUGCCUAAUCGACCUCAUCUCGUCUUUGUCGACGGGCAUUGUAAGACACCUUUGGAAGAGACAUGGAAGGCAUUGUUUUCAAGUCUUAAAUACGCGAAAAAUUUCAGCGCACCGGUUUGUUUUCGCCACGUGAUCUUCUCACCUCUCGGGUACGAAACUGCGCUAUUCAAGGGUCUAACCGAGGGGAUCAAUUGUCAUGGAGGUUCUUCUCAUGAGCUAUGGCUAAAACCUGAUGUCCAGAAAACUGCUAGAUUAUCUGAGUUUGGUGAAAUGGUUAGAGCAGCUUUUGGUUUCCCAGUCGACAGACAAGUCGAAAGACCGCCCUCAAUCCACAACGUUCUCUUUGUGCGUCGUGAGGAUUAUUUAGCGCAUCCUCGACACGGUGGUCGAGUUGAAUCCAGACUUACUAAUGAACAAGAAAUCUUUGAUUCUUUGCAGAACUGGGCAUCAAAUCACAGGGAGUGUAAAGUAAACUUAGUGAACGGGUUAUUUGCGCAUAUGUCGAUGAAAGAACAACUCCGAGCCAUCCAAGAUGCGUCGGUCAUUAUCGGAGCACACGGUGCAGGCCUUACUCACAUAAUAUCUGCCUUACCAAAAACUGUCAUCUUGGAAAUCAUCAGUAGUUUGUUUAGAAGGCCUCAUUUUGCAUUGAUUGCUCAAUGGAAAGGCUUGGAAUACCAUGCCAUUAAUCUCUCGGGAUCACACGCUGACCCGAACGUCGUUAUCGAGCACCUUUUGCGCAUCAUGACGAGCCUCGGUUGCUAACUUUUUUGCAGUUUCUCACAUUAAUCUCUCUUAACUAGGAGAGGGAACACCAGCCCUCUGUAUCUACUUACACACUUGGCUGGAUGCUCCCAUUUUGACAAGCUUUGAGUUUGAAGAUACUAACUUGCCAUGGACAUGGCUUGAAGUAAGGGCUUACCGACCGAGCUCGACGACGAUGGAAACUCGGGAUAUCUAAGCUACAUGGAACAGAAGAGGUCUGUGUUUGUUUGGUUCUUUCUCCAAGAAGGAAAAUCCACUGAACUUUCCUUCUCUAAUUGGGCAACAACAUUGAGUGGAAGACGAUUAGGAUCUCUCGUGCGACAACUGUUGGAACAAACUCAGAAUCCAAGAGGUACCUAAAGAAAAAGGAAACUCGCCACUGUUUCAGUUGACGAGAAGGAAACGACUUUCACCGGGAGUACACGACGAUCAAACAAUUGUGAAGGCUAGCAAUAAGGCGGGAUCGAGGAUCGUCAAAGGAAAAUGACUACAAGAGUUGCUUAUUGCAACAAGGGAACAAAACGCGAGACAUGAGGGAAAGAGAUCGAGGGAGCUAAGGAAGGUUUGUCACCCAUUAGUUCGACCAGCCUAACAAGCCUAAUCAACUUUAAUACGACAAAUAAGGAUUUAACAGA